CGCAUCCCGCAGCCAAUCCAUCCUCGCCUCGUCCCACUCCCGCACCAGCCACCACCCAAACCCUAGCCCCCUUUCCCCUCGAUCCCCACAGCCUCCCUCGCCUCCUCCAUCCCUCCUCCUUGCCUCGGCACGGCCUCCCCCGGAGCCUCGCCGCCGCUUGCUAUUCCUCGCCGCGCCUGCGAGCUCGGUGGCGGGAUGAAUGGACAGGGGAGGUGGACGAUGAGGGCUACUCCAUCCACCAGAUCCGCGCCGCCCCUGCCCAAAUCCUCUCCGCGUGCGCCGCACCCAAUCCCGUCCUCGCUCGUCUCACGCGGCCCUCUUGCGCCGCUCGUCUCCACCUCAUAUCUGGCAUCCUCGCUGCGGCCAUAGAUCGAGGAGGACGGCGCGAUGACGACCACGAUGCGUCGGACAUCCCAGAUCGACGACGCGAUGGAAGACAUGAGAGCUGGCCGAGGAAGAGGGGGCAGGGCCGCAGGUCAUGAAGGGCACGGUGGCUGCGGGCGGAAGCAGCAUGGGUUGAAGGAGCGGCGGAUGUGGGCGGGGUCGGAGGUUGGGGGAGACUCGUCGGCUGGGCGACAGCGAGCGCCGGUGAGCGCAAUGCAUGAGUUUCCAGAAGCGUCCUCUCCUACAAGGUAGGCAAGGACGAUGUCGUCGCCCUCGCAGGUUCUCAAUCUGUUGCAUCUCUGUUCUCCUCGUCAAGGUUAGCUGCUCUAAUUCCUAGAUCUGGGGUGUGGCUGCAGGGGAGGGGAGGCGGCCAAUGACAGGGAGAAGCAGCAGGCCGUCGAGGAGUGCAAGCAGAAGGGGAAGCUUCUGGACGGGAUUUAGACAAGGAAACAGAGACCCGUGCGAAAUCGAGCAUCCUGGUAGUGCCUCGACCAAAGCGGGUCGACGGAUAGCACCGGUGAGCACGGAGCAUGGUGCAGCGAGUUGGAUAGGCAGCAAGAGAGGUGACCACGGGUGUGGCUUGGGGAGCUCCGCACACAUGAAGUGAUGAUGAGUGCAUCCGACCCCACCAUGCUGCUGGUCCUGGAGAAACAAGGGGUACAUGAACCAGAAAUGAUGUGAUAUACUUGGUUAUUUGAACAUGAAGGUCAGCCGCGGGGUGACGCGACAUGGCUCAUUACAAGCUUCAGCUGGAUCGAAUAGUGGGCCUUCUAUAUAUAUAUUCAGCUGUAUCAUUUCUUACUAUAUAUAUCUUCCUGUCGACCAGACGAAACCAUACAUGGAUCCUUCGCCUCCUUUCUUGCUCAGAACCCAUGAUACAACCUCGGCGGCUGUCCAGCGACUAACAGGUAAUUUCUCUUUCAAUUUGAUGAUGAUGGAUGAGAAUCAGUUCUAUGAUUGCAGCUUAUAAAAACAGAUGUUGGAUGUCCCUUAUGUGAUGUGCUUAUUUACCAUGAUAGAUGCAAUUGCUUAUUAGCAGGUGCUCUCCGAAUCCUUCUUUAACUAAUUUACUUUUGAUGUUCGGACAAAGGAGACUAUAACUUUUUAUAUUCGUUCUAUCAUGGAUUCCCUCUCUAGCCUAUGUACGUUUCAGAAAUAGGUACACACCUAGGAGAAGCCUGAGACCUAAUAAUAGUGCUAAGCAAUUACUCUGAUUGUCAUUCUAUGCUAUCAUCACAACACAGGUCAAUAGACAGUCAACAAAUGUGUAAUCAGCUUUCCCUAGGUCCUGGAUCAUCUACUAAUAAUCAAAUUUUGUGGCGAGCGUCUUAUAAAUCAGCAUACCUAUUUCUCCACACUGGAUAGCUUUUAUUGUGACUACAAAGAAUAUAGUUUGAGGAUGGCAUGCCAAUUGUUCUAUGUCUUGGGGUGCUCCACCGAUGGUGAAAAUACCUCACAUGAUGAUGUUGGAUAUUCUUCUACAAACUUCUGGCCUACCAGUGGCUGAGUAUCGAAGCAAAAUGUGACAGUUGCAUGAUGUGCUUGACUGUUUAUUUGCAUACAGCAAUAUCAUCUUUUGGAGAUAAAACAGCUGUAUGGCUGUUAGAUGAGACCAUGUCGGAAGACCCUGCUGCUAUGUAAGCAAAAGGAUUCAUGAUACCCACGGUGAAAACAGAGAUAACAUGCUACAGUUAGAGCAGCAUUGAGAAACCAAGGACACGAAAUGAGUCUGAAAAAUGCUAUGGGCUGAUUCGUUCUAGCUAGGCUAUGUGUGGUAGAAGUUGUACUCACAGGAAGACUAUCGUGCUUUGUAUAAACCACGUUCUAUGAUUCACUUCUGUUAUGCUUAUUUACAUUCCAGUGUUAGGACUGAAAUCCAUCUAUUGUAAUGAAUUUGGUUGUAUUGGCAUUACCUAUUUGACUUAGGCUUGGUUCAUCACAUAUCGAUUGUUUUUCUUGUAACCCGCUGCUUGUAUGACCUAAAACUGUCAUGUAUAUGAGGCAAGUUAUUAGCAAUGUUUCACAUUUUCUUA